GAUGAACGCUGGCGGCGUGCCUAAUACAUGCAAGUCGAGCGAACAGACGAGGAGCUUGCUCCUCUGACGUUAGCGGCGGACGGGUGAGUAACACGUGGAUAACCUACCUAUAAGACCGGGAUAACUUCGGGAAACCGGAGCUAAUACCGGAUAAUAUAUUGAACCGCAUGGUUCAAUAGUGAAAGACGGUUUUGCUGUCACUUAUAGAUGGAUCCGCGCCGCAUUAGCUAGUUGGUAAGGUAACGGCUUACCAAGGCAACGAUGCGUAGCCGACCUGAGAGGGUGAUCGGCCACACUGGAACUGAGACACGGUCCAGACUCCUACGGGAGGCAGCAGUAGGGAAUCUUCCGCAAUGGGCGAAAGCCUGACGGAGCAACGCCGCGUGAGUGAUGAAGGUCUUCGGAUCGUAAAACUCUGUUAUUAGGGAAGAACAAAUGUGUAAGUAACUAUGCACGUCUUGACGGUACCUAAUCAGAAAGCCACGGCUAACUACGUGC
rnacentral:rRNA from 1 species